UCCCCCCAAAAUAUGCAGAGACAAAGUCUCAUCGUUUUUUAUGCUAAAUGCAUCUAUCAUACUAUAAUUAUUGUAUAAUGAGUUGGAACUAUUGUAAAAUAAUAGCUACCCAAGAUUUUCCUUGAGUCAUAGCUUUUUUUAAGUAGUAGCUAUACGAAUUUACCAUUUUGAUUAUGAGGGAAGUUUCUUUUGAUGCCGAUUCGCCGAUUAUAAGACUGACAAUUGUUGUUGGUCUUUGAACUGUCCACGAAGAUCCUUGAAUUUGGCGAAUUGGCGAAACAUUUGACCGUCCGAUUGGGUGAUUGGCUAUUAUAGCUACACUAAUACUACGGAUUUCCCGAAUUAUAGUAUCUCAUGAACGGUUACGUUUAUUGUUUAGUGAUUUUGUUUGUCCUCUGGCUAAACUUUAAAAGCGACAUUGGUGACAACACUAGGCAACAGUGCAAGAUCAUUAUAGGCCUACCAAUACUUAGGUUUUAUACCCUUGAAACAGGAAAUGCAUGUUACCAACCAUCACCACAUGUAUGAAAAGAGAUGGAACCAUGGAGAUGAAAGCUGCUGUAUGCCAUGGUCAUAUGUAAAGGAUAAUUAGCUGACAAGUAGGUGGAUGAUAAGGUAUGUUUUUAGUGUAGGAGCUCAUAUACAGCCUUAACUGUAUUCCCAUCAUACCUGGGAGGUUUGGCUGUGUCAUGAAAGAUCCUCUGGAAAAUUUUAUAUGACACAUCAGAGCCGGAUUAAGCUGGUGGGCGGCCUGGGGCCCACUCUGGUGGGAGGCCCCCUUUCCAACUGGCAGUGGCGGACUGGGUCUAAAAAUUGUGGUUGCCAGGUGGCAUAAGAGGGCCCACUCCAACCUUCAGCCACAAUACUAUAAUAGAGUUUACUUUACAAAUGCAUAAAAUAUUUGAAAAUGCAUAAGUGGAAACACAGAAAGACAAAUGAUUGGAAUGUUUAUUUUUCAGUAAGAAGUGUAAAUAUCCUAAAUAUAUGAUUGAUAGUGUAAAGUAAUACCAAAAUAUGGAUACACAAUUGCUUAGUUGAAUUUCUAAUCAGUAUAAUGAUAUGGAGUAGUGCUAUUUUUAAAUGUUUGCUAACUGAAAAUGUAAUCCAAUAAACCUGUAAAGAAAAUCAAAUAUCUUCAAUGAAAUAUUAAGAAGCUACAUAUAGCCUGAAUUCUAUAUAGCCUAAGUAUUCUACUAACAGAGAAGUUUUCUUUCAAAUAAUUUAAACAU